rnacentral:lncRNA from 1 species
CAGUUUUGCGGCCCCCCGGUAUGUGGCCCUUCCUCCCCGACUGUGUCUCUAUCUCCCUAAUUUAUUAUAAGUUAUUUGUUUUCCACCCAAGCGAUUGUUAUGGUGGCUUUUUAAUCCCCUAUACUUACCCCCUGUUUUCAUGUGUGUCCAGAACUCACGCAGAGCAAAUUGCUUGGGUGGUUUGCUAUAGCUCCGCCAAAUAAACGCCCAAGGAUGACUACUGACUACUCGAUUGCAAACCCGGUUGGAGUAGCUGUUUCUGAGAUGGAGGGGCGGAGAAGAGAUGAGUGUUUCUAUGCAAUGGCCAUGGAUUCAUCAGUCAAUGAUUUAUUUAGGUAUGUGCAAACAUGGUGGACACUUGUUUUGACAUAUUUGUUGAUCGGAUAACCAGCGCGUGUGUGCGCACUGCAAAAAUCUGCAUAUCAUGAACAAAAUGGAUUUUGUUCCGUGUGCAGGGUGUGGUUCAAGCAUGGGCGCCCAUAUCUCAUUGAGAUGACUGGUGAGGAGGUGCUGGAAGAGUUCCACAUCGAUAAAACACUUGCCCAAAAAGGCCUUGACUCCAUUCUACGUUUGGGGAUCUGCCCCCCGGCAUCAGGGAGACUGAUCAUUGGGCCUGAUUAGGCGGUGAGUGUGUGUCCACAUCAAUUAACUUGUUUUCCUUGGUUUUGUUUAGUAGCAGUUGUCUGGAUGAAGUGUAAAUGUUUUUUGCUUGUAGUUCAAAGUUUCAUACACUAGGGGGUACUGGAGGAGAGCGGAUGUCCGUGCAAUGUUUAAUCAACUACCACCCGGGGUUUCGUGCGAACUGGUUAGUGAUCAGAUUUUCCUCUUCCAUUUAGUGGAUGUGUUGCAUCAAGUACCGCCUUUUCGUAGCUAUCUUGUUGGCUUUGUUAUUCUAACUGAAUCAAAAAACAGGGGCUGGUUGUGGUGUACCUUGGUCAAGGGUGGAGUCUGUAUGUCUUUGACACGCUGCGAAGGGUUCUUCAUUUAAUUGAUCCAAACAUUUGCAAGCCUGCUGAGAGCCAGAUGAAAGCAAAGCACUUGCGGAAUGCAGAGGAGCUGUUGGAUGCAUUCUUGAAGUGUGGUGAGAUGUUCUGGGGGGAGGGGAAGGUGCCACACAAUGGAUGGUCUUAUUGUUUCCACCCUACGUGCACCUAUGAGAG